GGUGUGUUAGGGGAGCGAGACAUGGAAAACAAGACUGGAUAGGUGGCAUCGAGGCAUAUCUGCUGUGCAAACAAAAAACAGCUGAGCGGUUCAGUGAGAAUGACUUGCAGCAUAUAACUGGCCCAGUUUUGCAACAGGGGAGAACAGCAGAGGCAAAAGGUCUACAGAAAAACAAACAAGCAAGCAAUGUCUUUAAUGACAAUUCGACCUUUGAGCCAGGAACAGAGAAUUUUAGGAAACUUUAAUUCAAGCUCAGUUGGCUACGCUUUGAGUUACUCAGAUGUGACCACCAUAUGAGAGCCUAGCAGAACUUGAUUGGAUGGAAGGGAAUAUGACAGACGUGAGAAAACUUAGUAAACAUCACCUUAGUAACUAAAACCAGUUUCACGAGGGGUCCUUACUCUAGAUAGGAAUUUCCCAUCUUACCUGGCGGCAUGGCCGAUCAGGAUUCGACAGCACAAGCCCUGGUCCAAUGAUGUUGAAAGUAGCAUCAAUGUGCAUUGGGUUGGGAUCUUUGAAGGAGAUGAUGUGGAUUUUGUAG